GACGAACGCUGGCGGCGUGCUUAACACAUGCAAGUCGAACGGAAAGGCCCUGCUUUUGUGGGGUGCUCGAGUGGCGAACGGGUGAGUAACACGUGAGUAACCUGCCCUUGACUUUGGGAUAACUUCAGGAAACUGGGGCUAAUACCGGAUAGGAGCUCCUGCUGCAUGGUGGGGGUUGGAAAGUUUCGGCGGUUGGGGAUGGACUCGCGGCUUAUCAGCUUGUUGGUGGGGUAGUGGCUUACCAAGGCUUUGACGGGUAGCCGGCCUGAGAGGGUGACCGGACACAUUGGGACUGAGAUACGGCCCAGACUCCUACGGGAGGCAGCAGUGGGGAAUAUUGCACAGUGGGCGGAAGCCUGAUGCAGCAACGCCGCGUGCGGGAUGACGGCCUUCGGGUUGUAAACCGCUUUCGCCUGUGACGAAGCGUGAGUGACGGUAAUGGGUAAAGAAGCACCGGCUAACUACGUG
rnacentral:rRNA from 1 species